GCAGAUUUUCAGUGAAUCAUCGAAUCUUUGAACGCACCUUGCGCCCCUUGGUAUUCCGAGGGNCAUGCCUGUUUGAGUGUCAUU
rnacentral:rRNA from 1 species